CUACCUAGUGUGGGGCUGUUUGGGAGAAUAAAGAAAAGACCACACUCGACGGUGGGCUAUAUCACAUAGUAUAGUUCACUACUAUUUUGUGGCUUACAAU
rnacentral:snoRNA from 1 species